rnacentral:piRNA from 1 species
GACAGGAAAGGAACUCACAGAUG